rnacentral:piRNA from 1 species
UGUGACCUAUUGGGGACAUUGAGCUCAGUGU